AUUGGCCAUUUUGACAGUCUUACCGCCUCGCUCGUAGCACAGAGCCCCCUUCGGGGGUAUCCCCCGCGUGUAGGAGGAGGCGUCUCGGAUCCCCCCCAAUCUAACAGUUGUCGGCCCCGCAGGGCAACCUACCGUCCCCUUGUUUACAGUGUUGGGCAGCUCUCCUCCUCUGCGGAGGGCGGAAUUAAGGUGCUAGAAGCUUGUUGUUUUUUUUUUUGCGACAGGUUCCGCAUCGAGUUCGUGUAGCAGAUCAGUAGUGAUCCUUCCGCGGUGACACUUAUCGAAGCCUUGAAUUACGCCCUCGCAAGAGGGAGAUGCCCAACGACUGUAAACAAAUGGGACGCGUAAGUUGGCCCUCGUGGCCGGCGACACUUUCGAAUUGCGGGGAUACCCUGAGAGCUCUGCCUACCAACCCGGGGGGAAACCCACCGGGGGCCCGUGCUAACAACACGGGGCGGUAAAAACGGUCAGAGAUUGGGCAAUCCGCAGCCAAGCCCCUAACUCCAGGCCCGCCUGGACACGGGGAAGGUUCACAGACUAAGUGGAAGUGGGUGCGGCCGCUCGGCCGUGCUUAAGAUAUAGUCGGGCCCUCAGCGAAAGCUGGGGGGUAAGUCACUGCAAAAUGGCGAUCAACCGUUCCGUAGGUGAACCUGCGGAAGGAUCAUUACCGAGUUGAUUCGAGCUCCGGCUCGACUCUCCCACCCUUUGUGUACCUACCUCUGUUGCUUUGGCGGGCCCGCGGUUCGGCCUCGUGCCGUCCAGCACCCGCCAGAGGACCACAAAACUCCAGUCAGUGAACGUCUCAUUCUGAAAAACAAGUUAAUAAACUAAAACUUUCAACAACGGAUCUCUUGGUUCUGGCAUCGAUGAAGAACGCAGCGAAAUGCGAUAAGUAAUGUGAAUUGCAGAAUUCAGUGAAUCAUCGAAUCUUUGAACGCACAUUGCGCCCCUUGGUAUUCCGGGGGGCAUGCCUGUUCGAGCGUCAUUUCAACCCUCAAGCUCUGCUUGGUAUUGGGCUCCGUCCUCUGGGACGCGCCUCAGAGACCUCGGCGGUGGCGUCUUGCCUCAAGCGUAGUAGAAAACACCUCGCUUUGGAGCGCACGGCGUCGCUCGCCGGACGAACCUUUUGAUUUUCUCAAGGUUGCCUUCGGAUCAGGUAGGGAUACCCGCUGAACUUAAGCUAUCGUUAUUGUAAAAAAAAA
rnacentral:rRNA from 1 species